rnacentral:rRNA from 1 species
CCUACGGUGUGCUGCAGUGGGGAAUAUUGGACAAUGGGCGAAAGCCUGAUCCAGCCAUGCCGCGUGUGUGAAGAAGGCCUUCGGGUUGUAAAGCACUUUCAUUGGGGAAGAAAGCCUUGGGGCUAAUACCCUCGAGGAAGGACAUCACCCACAGAAGAAGCACCGGCUAACUCCGUGCCAGCAGCCGCGGUAAUACGGAGGGUGCGAGCGUUAAUCGGAAUUACUGGGCGUAAAGCGCGCGUAGGCGGUCUGAUAAGCCGGUUGUGAAAGCCCCGGGCUCAACCUGGGAACGGCAUCCGGAACUGUCAGGCUAGAGUGAAGGAGAGGAAGGUAGAAUUCCCGGUGUAGCGGUGAAAUGCGUAGAGAUCGGGAGGAAUACCAGUGGCGAAGGCGGCCUUCUGGACUGACACUGACGCUGAGGUGCGAAAGCGUGGGUAGCAAACAGGAUUAGAUACCCGGGUAGUC